rnacentral:rRNA from 1 species
GACGAACGCUGGCGGCGUUCUUAACACAUGCAAGUCGAACGGAAAGGCCCUGCUUUUGUGGGGCGCUCGAGUGGCGAACGGGUGAGUAACACGUGAGUAACCUGCCCUUGACUUUGGGAUAACUUCAGGAAACUGGGGCUAAUACCGGAUAGGAGCUCCUGCUGCAUGGUGGGGGUUGGAAAGUUUCGGCGGUUGGGGAUGGACUCGCGGCUUAUCAGCUUGUUGGUGGGGUAGUGGCUUACCAAGGCUUUGACGGGUAGCCGGCCUGAGAGGGUGACCGGCCACAUUGGGACUGAGAUACGGCCCAGACUCCUACGGGAGGCAGCAGUGGGGAAUAUUGCACAAUGGGCGGAAGCCUGAUGCAGCAACGCCGCGUGCGGGAUGACGGCCUUCGGGUUGUAAACCGCUUUCGCCUGUGACGAAGCGUGAGUGACGGUAAUGGGUAAAGAAGCACCGGCUAACUACGUG